GUCCACGCAGUAAACGAUGAUAACUCGUUGUCGGCGAUACACAGUCGGUGACUAAGCGAAAGCGAUAAGUUAUCCACCUGGGGAGUACGUUCGCAAGAAUGAAACUCAAAGGAAUUGACGGGGGCCCGCACAAGCGGAGGAACAUGUGGUUUAAUUCGAUGAUACGCGAGGAACCUUACCCGGGCUUGAAAGUUAGUGACGAUUCUGGAAACAGGAUUUCCCUUCGGGGCACGAAACUAGGUGCUGCAUGGUUGUCGU
rnacentral:rRNA from 1 species